AGGGUUUGAUUCUGGCUCAGGAUGAACGCUGGCGGCGUGCUUAACACAUGCAAGUCGAACGAAGCACUUAAUGAGAUUUCUUCGGAUUGAUUAUUUUGUGACUGAGUGGCGGACGGGUGAGUAACGCGUGGGUAACCUGCCCCAGACCGGGGGAUAACAGUCGGAAACGACUGCUAAUACCGCAUAAGCGCACAGUGCUGCAUGGCACAGUGUGAAAAACUCCGGUGGUCUGGGAUGGACCCGCGUCCGAUUAGUUAGUUGGCGGGGUAACGGCCCACCAAGACCGCGAUCGGUAGCCGACCUGAGAGGGUGACCGGCCACAUUGGGACUGAGACACGGCCCAG
rnacentral:rRNA from 1 species